ACCUAGUUAGCUUGAUUGGUGGCGCGUCUGCCUUGUAAGCGCUAGGCCGCGGGUUCGAUUCCCGCCCGGGGUG
rfam:Asian citrus Psyllid, Diaphorina citri - Florida Strain, whole genome shotgun sequence.